AUGCUCAAUUUGGCAGCACAUAUACUAAAACUGGAACAGUACAGAGAAGAUUAGCAUGGCCCCUGCACAAGGAUGACAUGUGAAUUCAUGAAGUGUUCCAUAUUUUA
rnacentral:snRNA from 1 species